rnacentral:rRNA from 1 species
GAGAUAUUAACUGUCUCUAUUUUAAUAUUAGAAUUUAAAUUUUUAGUUAAAAUGCUUAAAUUUUUUUAUAGGACGAGAAGACCCUAUAGAUCUUUAGUUAAAUAAUUAUUUAUUUAUUUAGUAUAAUUAUUAUAUAUAAUUAUUUUAUUUUUGUUGGGGUGACAUUGAGAUUAAUUUAACUCUUUUUUUUUAAAAUCAUUUAUUUAUGUUUAAUUGACCUUUUAUUACUGUUUUAAGAUUAAGAUACCUUAGGGAUAACAGCGUUAUUCUUUUUUAGAGUUCCUAUCGACAAAAGAGAUUGCGACCUCGAUGUUGGAUUAAGAUUAUAAUUAGGUGUAGAAGCUUAAUUGUUAAGUCUGUUCGACUUUUAAAUUCUUACAUGAUCUGAGUUCAAACCGGAGA